GGCCGGGCGGCGGCAGGCAGGGGAGGAGGAGGGGGAGGAUGAGCAGGGCAUCCCCGCGCAUGGCGGCCACGUCUGGCACCGCGGCCCACGGGGCCGCCGCCGGGCAGCACAGGGCGCUGUGGCACAGGCACAGCGGCCGUCGGGUGACCCGGGUGCCCCGGGCAGAGCGCGGCGCUGGCCCCGGAGCGUCAGGGCGGCGGGGAGCGGAGGCGGCGGCGGCCCUCCCCCAGGAGCUGCCGCUGCCCCCCGGUACUUGGUACUUUUAGCGAACCGGCGUUGCGCGGCCCUCCCGGUGCGGCGGAGCCUCGGGCAGCGCGCCCCGGGCAGUCGCGACUGAGCACUGGGUCGUUAUGGGCGUCUGUGGCUUAGGCGAGAGCAGACCAUAUCGCGUGUUCAGUUGUGUUAAGGGAAGAAGAAUCAACACUAUCAUGAGUAAAAAGAAGAAAGAUGCAAAGCCAGAAGAAAUGAUUUUCUAAACCCAAGACCUGUCUUGUUUUGUUUAUUUUUUAAUGUGCGUUAGUAUAUCAAAAGUGAAAUUUAAAUAGUGUCUACUAUUCAGAAGUUCCAUCGGGAACCUGCUAAGUACAAAUGAAGAACCAGGCGCUGUUAUAUCCUUCAUUUCCCUUGUUUUUAAUUUAGACUUUGGCUGAGCUAGAAGUACAGGAGCAUCUGUGAGGAAUCUGAAUAAAAAAGCAAUGGCAGAAAUGAUGCAAUGUUUGUCUUUGCAAUUUUUAUUUUUUGCUCUGUGUAUACUGUGACUUCAAGAUUAAACCUCAAGAUUAGAAAGCAAUAUGAGCCAUAAAAACUAGGUUUUCAAAGUAAAAGACUCCUGCUUGCUCCAUAAAAAAGGAGAAAGCCUGGACCAAAGCAAAUGAAACAAAAAUAUUCUUGGGCCUGUCCUGGUAAGUUUUAUGGCCUAUAAAGAGCAGAUACUAGAAGGACAGUCACUGAAAUAAGGCAAAUUCAGGAGCAACAGCAGUUGCAGGCCAUCCAAAACAGCAAUCAGGGCUCUGACUUUGGGCACAAACUGCCAUUGGUUUUCUUUUUUACGUCAGCCUUUGAGUGACCGUGUAUCACAAACACCACAAUUAGAUAUACAGGAUGGGGAGUCAGGCAAAUCAUGAAGGAGAAUUAGUGGCAGGUGAAUGACUAAAUAAUACUGGUGGCAUGUUAAUUUACUUAUCAGGCAGAGUUUAGGACUGUAAACUAGCAGAGACUGAACCUUGACUAUCAUGAAAUUAUUCACUGGCCUUCAGCUGUACAAGAUCACAAGUACCUAUCUUUAAAAGAAAGAUGAUUUUACUUUGCUCUUCAUUGUCAUGUUAUUUUACUCCUGUUUUUUCUCUGGUUUGGUUUUUUCUAUCCUCAAGUUUUUCAUUUUUAGAGUAGUUUUAAUGCCUGAAGACAAAGGAAUUGGCUUUUGCUUAGGGAAAUGGGACAGCUUUUCAAAUGAGUUUCCGAUUGUAUGAGUUCAAGCACACAUUUCUGAAACUUCUUGUAGCAAAUGAAACGCCUGUUCUUGAUUGUUUUUUCCCAGUUGACUGGGAAUCCAAGGGCUGGUAUGUACAGCUGAAAACUAAUAACUUAGAAUCCCAUUUUAGGGCACUGUCAUCCCACUCUUGAUUUCAGUGAAGUUUCCAUAAUAUAUAGUGGGUGAUGAUGUAUUUAGAAGGCACAUUCAUAGUCAGGAAGCCAAGCCUCAUGAACUCAGGAGAACAUGAAAGACAUGAAAGUAAAGUGAGAAAGACAGGUCCCGUAAGUGAGAAUUAACCUUCAGUGAAAUGAAUAAAUACUGGAAUAACUAUUCAUCUGUACAUGACUAACAAAAGCAUCUUAUGAAGGUGAUUUUUGGAGCACUGUGUGAGAUUGUGAGUUGUAUAGAGGGAGUGGAGAACAAGUGUUGGGGUUUUGUUUUGGUUUUAAUUCUAGCUAAAAAUCAAUGGGUAAAAUCAAAUAUGCUGUUAGUCCACUGACUGAUGUUUGUCUCAACGUGUCAUUUGAUUUCAUUGUUUUCUUGUGUUUGAUCUGCACACAUCUGCUGCUUCUUCCAAGUUGUUUAUGCAGAGAUGGUCUCUUUUAAUCUGCAUUUGUAUAGCAGCUAGCACAGAGAGCUUCUGCUCUGUGCUCAGGGCUCCUGGACCCUGUGGCAGCACAAAUUAAAAUGAAAAUGGAAAUACUCUUGUAUAAGGGAGUGUUUAAUUGUAGUCAAACCGACCUGCAUGUGUUUUCCACAGACAUAAGCUGUGUAACUCAAGGACAGAUCUGAGUCAGUGUCUGUUCCCCUGUAGAUGGUGCCCCUAGUUCAGGGAUUCUCUUUUGGGUUGACAGCUCGGCAUCUCUAAUGUUCCUCCCCUCUUUGAACAUCAGUUUUCGCCAAAGUGGUGCUCAGGGUGAUACUCCAGAAAAACAGCAUUUUCAGUGCAGGUAGGAUGAACUUGACUGAAGUCAUGGGUUUCUUUUCAAGCAGAAUCUACUAUAUAAAAUGACGAACUACUGAACCAUUAGCUUAGAGAGUGCCCAGAUAUUAUAAAUGUCCAAUCUUACCCUUAUAGUGGUAGACAUUAUGGUUUCUCCCAUGUAAAAUCUCUAAUCUCUGGUAAGUGUAUGUAUCAUAUGGAUGACUGCAUAAUAAAAAAAAAAAAAAAAAAAGAAGGGAAGUAGGAUUUCUAAUUUAAUUUUGUGGAGCUGACCUUCACAAAGCAUGAGGAAGAGCUGUGUAAUGGCAGUCACUGUUACCUCUGAGGAGACUUGAGGAGACUUUAACAAGGUCUUUUCAAAUUGGUAUGCAUGAUUGAUGGUUGUCAAAACGCGCAUAAGAGAGGAGAUUCAUUGCCUCCAGUACAAAAUAGGGAUACCUCUGUUUACAGAGACAGAAUUGCCUGUGAAGUGCACAAUAUGCUUGUAUUUACACCAGUCUGAGAGUGGACCAACGGUGAUAAUAUCCACAUUAGAAUGUAUCACUGAAAUGUAGGUAAAAUCUCAUGGCUUCAGGCUUCUUGAAUUUCAUGUCUCUAAUUUGAGAUAGUCACAAAACUUUCACCAUGCAGCAGACAUAUAAGAAGAAAGCCAGAAAGCCAGCCCAGCUGUGAAGCAUGGCAACUUCUACCAUUUAAUUAUGCAAAGCAGGCCAAGAACAUUGAUGUGAAGAAAAAAAUGGGAUAGAGUUACUAGGAUAAAAAACCUUGUUAAUGUCGUUUACAUUCCAGAAAAUACUUUUGAAAAUCAGUAGCCCAAGAAAUAAUUCUCAAGGGAGUUCAUGUUCAUUUAGCUCACAUUGUCAUUUCAUUCAAAGCCACAGUGAAAUUACCCUAGUAUUUAUAUUUAAAACGCUGAACCGUAAAAUUGUUAGUUUUUUUUACAGAAGUCACCAUUUCAUAAUAUUUUCUGUCCUUUUCAAAAAAUGUACUUACUUCUCUUGCAGGAAUGCAGUCAUUGUACAAUUCUGAUGUUUAGACUUCAUUGGGCUUAAAAGUUUGCAAAACACAUGGCUAAAUGAACUGGAAAUUUUAUGUCAUUAAUAUUAUCAGGAGAGAAGAAUUUUUAAUUUCAAUUUCUUCAUAGCUAUGUUUUAGCCAGUAUGCAAUACAGUAAACUAGUUACCUCUGGCAAUUCUGUCUAUCAGCAGCACCAUUUUGUUUGCAAACUAAAGGGCUUGUUUUAUUUCCUGUGUUGCUUUUUCUAUAGUAUAUGCCAUAGCCUUCAAAUUACAUGAGUCGAAGAAGGGAAUAAAGCUCCCUUACUGUGGCAGUGUCGUUAAAAUGAUAAGGUCAGUGGUAAUGUCUCUUCUGCAAACCUUGGUAGAUAUUUACCCAAGUCAAAACUGAAUUUUUAAUCAUUGCAAUAUGUCAGUAUAAAAAAAAAAAAAAAAAAGG